rnacentral:rRNA from 1 species
GACGAACGCUGGCGGCGUGCUUAACACAUGCAAGUCGAACGGAAAGGCCCUGCUUGCAGGGUGCUCGAGUGGCGAACGGGUGAGUAACACGUGGGUGAUCUGCCCCUUACUUUGGGAUAAGCCUGGGAAACUGGGUCUAAUACUGGAUAGGACCAUGCUUUAGGUGGUGUGGUGGAAAGAUUAGUUUCGGUAAGGGAUGAGCUCGCGGCCUAUCAGCUUGUUGGUGGGGUAUUGGCCUACCAAGGCGUCGACGGGUAGCCGGCCUGAGAGGGUGGACGGCCACAUUGGGACUGAGGUGCGGCGCAGAAUCAUACGGGAGGCAGCAGUGGGGAAUAGUGUACAAUGGGCGCAAGCCUGAUGCGGCGACGCCGCGUGGGGGAUGACGGCCUUCGGGUUGUAAACUCCUUUCAGCCAUGACGAAGCCCUUGUGGUGACGGUAGUGGUAGAAGAAGCACCGGCUAACUACGUG